AUGAAUAACACAAAUUUCUCUGCUAUGAGUUGGAAUGUUAGGGGCCUGAACUCACGAGCAAGACGCUUUGCCGUGCACGAGCUCGCCGAAGCGCACAGGCCAUCCAUCCUCUGCCUGUAGGAAACGAAGAUCAAAACCUGGCCCGCCGGCAUUGUUCGUGAGCUCGGCGGCACCUCCCUCGAGGGAUGCGCGGUCUUGCCUGCUGCUGGCACAAGGGGUGGCAUUGCAAUCCUCUGGAACACACGCCUGCUUGACGUCGCCACCCACUCUGUGGGCUAUUUCUCGAUCACAGCCAAGGUUUCUUCAGUUCAGGGCAAUUCGUUGUUCUGGCUCACGACCGUUUACGGGCCUGCAGAUAACGCCCGCAAAGAUGCAUUCCUGGCUAAGCUGACACUCGCCGCUCCGCCCAGGGGAGAGCCGUGCCUGAUCACUGGCGAUUUCAACGUCAUCUACGAAGCGCGCAACAAGAGCAAUCUCAACCUGAACAAAAGAGUUAUGGGGAAAUUCAGAAGGGCCAUCGACAUUGCUGGCCUGAAGGAAAUCAAGUGUAAGAAUGGGCGGUUCACUUGGUCGAACGAGAGGGAGGACCCGACCCUGGUGAGCAUCGACAAGAUGUUUUGCAACACUGAAUGGGAUGUUCUUUUCCCCAAUCACAUGCUGAUGGCUGCCUCAACGGCCUGCUCCGAUCACUGCCCCCUGCUUCUGGCCAACACGGCGGCUCCCGCGCGCAGGCUGAAAGUGCAACUAUCCCUGGGUGGUUUUGGUAAUUACUAA
rnacentral:rRNA from 1 species